CAUCCUCCAAGGCUAAAUACUCCUGACUGACCGAUAGUGAACCAGUACCGUGAGGGAAAGGCGAAAAGAACCCCGGCGAGGGGAGUGAAAAAGAACCUGAAACCGUGUACGUACAAGCAGUGGGAGCACAGGUUUACCUGUGUGACUGCGUACCUUUUGUAUAAUGGGUCAGCGACUUAUAUUCUGUAGCAAGGUUAACCGUAUAGGGGAGCCGUAGGGAAACCGAGUCUUAACCGGGCGUUAAGUUGCAGGGUAUAGACCCGAAACCCGGUGAUCUAGCCAUGGGCAGGUUGAAGGUUGGGUAACACUAACUGGAGGACCGAACCGACUAAUGUUGAAAAAUUAGCGGAUGACCUGUGGCUGGGGGUGAAAGGCCAAUCAAACCGGGAGAUAGCUGGUUCUCCCCGAAAGCUAUUUAGGUAGCGCCUCGUGAAUUCAUCUCCGGGGGUAGAGCACUGUUUCGGCUAGGGGGCCAUCCCGGCUUACCAACCCGAUGCAAACUGCGAAUACCGGAGAAUGUUAUCACGGGAGACACACGGCGGGUGCUAACGUCCGUCGUGAAGAGGGAAACAACCCAGACCGCCAGCUAAGGUCCCAAAGUCAUGGUUAAGUGGGAAACGAUGUGGGAAGGCCCAGACAGCCAGGAUGUUGGCUUAGAAGCAGCCAUCAUUUAAAGAAAGCGUAAUAGCUCACUGGUCGAGUCGGCCUGCGCGGAAGAUGUAACGGGGCUAAACCAUGCACCGAAGCUGCGGCAGCGACACUGUGUGUUGUUGGGUAGGGGAGCGUUCUGUAAGCCUGUGAAGGUGGCCUGUGAGGGUUGCUGGAGGUAUCAGAAGUGCGAAUGCUGACAUAAGUAACGAUAAAGCGGGUGAAAAGCCCGCUCGCCGGAAGACCAAGGGUUCCUGUCCAACGUUAAUCGGGGCAGG
rnacentral:rRNA from 1 species